rnacentral:rRNA from 1 species
AACGUAGGUACCGAGCGUUAUCCGGAUUCACUGGGCGUAAAGCGUGUGCAGGUGGUUUGGUAAGUCGGGCAUGAAAACUCUUGGCUCAACUGAGAGACGCUGUUCGAUAUUGUCAAACUUGAGGGUGUGAGAGGGAGGUGGAAUUCCGCAUGUAGUGGUGAAAUGCGUAGAUAUGCGGAGGAACACCAGUGGCGAAGGCGGCCUCCUGGCACACUCCUGACACUCAUACACGAAAGCUAGGGGAGCGAACGGG